ACCUACAGCCACGCCACCCUGAACAAGCCGAUGUCUGAUCUCGGAAGCUAAGCAGGGUCGAGCCUGGUUAGUAUUUGGAUGGGAGACCACCUAGGAAGACCAGGUGCUGUAGGCA
rfam:Pteropus alecto contig69227, whole genome shotgun sequence.